GGGCCCUUAGCUCAGUUGGUUAGAGCGACGGACUCAUAAUCCGUUGGUCGCUGGUUCAAGUCCGGCAGGGCCCACAA
rnacentral:tRNA from 1 species